AACGGCGAGUGAAGCGGCAACAGCUCAAAUUUGAAAUCUGGCUCCUUUUGGGGUCCGAGUUGUAAUUUGUAGAGGAUGCUUUGGGCACGGCCACGGUCUAAGUUCUCUGGAACGAGACGUCAUAGAGGGUGAGAAUCCCGUCUGGGACCGCCGGCCACGCCCGUGUAAAGCUCCUUCGACGAGUCGAGUUGUUUGGGAAUGCAGCUCAAAAUGGGUGGUAAAUUUCAUCUAAAGCUAAAUAUUGGCCAGAGACCGAUAGCGCACAAGUAGAGUGAUCGAAAGAUGAAAAGCACUUUGAAAAGAGAGUUAAACAGCAUGUGAAAUUGUUGAAAGGGAAGCUCUUGCGACCAGACUCACCCACGGGGGUUCACCGGGCGUUUCUCGCCCGGGCACUCCCCCGCGGUUGGGCCAGCAUCGGUUUGGGCGGUCGGUCAAAGGCCUCUGGAAUGUAUCAUCCCCCGGGAUGCCUUAUAGCCAGGGGUGCAAUGCGGCCUGCCUGGAUCGAGGAACGCGCUUCGGCACGGAUGCUGGCGUAAUGGUCGUAAGCGACCCGUCUUGAAACACGGACCAAGGAGUCAACCAACUAUGCGAGUGUUUGGGUGUCAAACCCCGGCGCGCAAUGAAAGUGAACGGAGGUGGGAACCCCUCGGGGCGCACCAUCGACCGAUCCUGAUGUCUUCGGAUGGAUUUGAGUAAGAGCAUAGCUGGUUGGACCCGAAAGAUGGUGAACUAUGCCUGAAUAGGGUGAAGCCAGAGGAAACUCUGGUGGAGGCUCGCAGCGGUUCUGACGUGCAAAUCGAUCGUCAAAUUUGGGUAUAGGGGCGAAAGACUAAUCGAACCAUUAACGAACGGUACUUGCUACCAGGUGGUUAAUAGGCGGCUCAGAGGGCCGACCUAGUCCCUCUCUCCGGGGCGACAUUGUCAAAUUGCGGGGACGUCCUAAAGACGACUGCUACCAAACGGCCGCCGAAAGGCGGGCGUGGCCGGGGUAAUGACCUAGGGUACGGUAACAACGCAGCGUAUGAGCCCCCCUUCUCGGGGGGUGAAGUGGAUGAUCCGCAGCCAAGUCCUAAGGCCCCUCCGGGGGCUACGGAUGCAGUUCACAGACUAGAUGGCAGUGGGUUCAAGCGAUGCUUGGGCUUCAGAUAUAGUCGAGCCGCCCAGAGAUGGGCCUGAUGGGACGAAGUCAUCGCCGAGCGAGAGCUGCCUUCAGGGGCGGUGGGUGAUGACCCGAGCCUAUCGGGGGCUGUGAGAC
rnacentral:rRNA from 1 species